rnacentral:lncRNA from 1 species
ACUAGGUUUUCCAAAGGGAUUUAUCCAGGCUUCAUUUUGAACACACAAAGAAAACGGGACGUAUACGAAAAUGAAAGCAGCCUCUUUUUCCACAGGAAAUCAGGUCUUUUGAAAUCUGAGUGUCUUCGUUUGUGUUGGCGUUGAGUUUUGGGUGAAGGUUCAGCUAGAUUCUUGUUUUCCUUAAAAUGUUCCUAUCCAUUGAUAUACUGGCUAAUGAAGCGGAGUCAUGUGAUGCAAGUUGGCAGAUGUUUUGCUUAAGUCACUCGAGUUUGGGGAUGAGUGGAGUUCUGCCUGGAGGUGAAGAUUCGAACCAAAGCAAUAAUUGUUCUUUAGGUAAACCUCAGCGGUUAGCAACUCUCCAGUGCCCCACAAUGAUGAAUGGAGAGUUGGACCUCUCCGGUGCCAUUCCUAAGUUCGGUUUGCCUGCUUGUAAAAGAUGUGCUUUGCAAAGUGCUUUAUACAUAAGCUGUGGGAGGCCUAGACAGUGAUGGCUCAAACAGUGAUGAAGGUGGUCUUUGAUUUUUGGUUUCCAAGCACCCAGGUGUUUUAAAAGCCAACGCUGUCUCCUGUUGGAUUUCAGCUGUGUUGGAACUGCUCUGGUGAAGUAUGAGUUAAGAGAGCCCUGCUGUUUUGGAGAUUGGGCGGCUGAGUUGUUCUUUCUGGGCUCUUAUGCCUAUUACUCUGUGUUGGAACAGAAAUUCCCCUGCAUCUGCCUGCGGAGAGCUCAGCCGGUGUCAUCACCGUCCUCCUGGAUCCAUCAGCACUCACUGACAAACGGGGAAACUGGAUCCAUGUUGGACACAAACUUUACUCAGUUAUGUAUUUGUCUCUCUGUAAUCCCUCUGGUAUUGACAAAUCGAACUCAGGGACUCGGGCGGCAGUGACAGCUCCUGCAGACAGCGUGUAUUAGCGUCGGCAUUAUCGUCCUUGGCCCUGACAGCCUGGGCACUAGAGGGAGGAUUAAGUGAUUAGUACUGUGUAUGUUACAACCAUCUUUUUAUUCCUUGUGACUUUUCAGUUUUGCUUACUUCAUAAAGAUGUAAAAGGAGGCUCUGAGUAAAAACAGAUGCAUUUAUACAUGUUUUCGGAUCUGAUGGCUAGCAUAUGUCUCAGACAUUCGGGCAAUGUUGAGACAUUAUCAAGUUUCUCCAUGAACACAGUAAAUUAUCUUGCCUUUGUGACAAAUAUUGUUUUAAAGGGGGCUUCGAGGUAUAUUGUAUAUAUUUAGAAAAUAAAGAUCCAUUUGAAUCUCUAUCUUAUAUUUGA